rnacentral:rRNA from 1 species
CAGUAGCCACGGUAACACGUAGGUGGCAAGCGUUGUCCGGAAUUAUUGGGCGUAAAGGGCUCGCAGGCGGUUUCUUAAGUCUGAUGUGAAAGCCCUGGGCUCAACCUAGGAAUUGCAUUUGAUACUGUUUGGCUUGAGUUCGGGAGAGGUGAGUGGAAUUCCCAGUGUAGAGGUGAAAUUCGUAGAUAUUGGGAAGAACACCAGUGGCGAAGGCGGCUCACUGGACCGACACUGACGCUGAGGCGCGAAAGCGUGGGGAGCAAACAGGAUUAGAUACCCCAGUAGUCCCUGUCUCUUAUAC